rnacentral:rRNA from 1 species
AUACGGAGGAUCCGAGCGUUAUCCGGAUUUAUUGGGUUUAAAGGGUGCGUAGGUGGUUUUAUAAGUCAGCGGUGAAAGUUUGCAGCUUAACUGUAAAAAUGCCGUUGAAACUGUAAGACUUGAGUGUAAAUGAGGUAGGCGGAAUGCGUGGUGUAGCGGUGAAAUGCAUAGAUAUCACGCAGAACUCCGAUUGCGAAGGCAGCUUACUAAGCUACAACUGACACUGAAGCACGAAAGCGUGGGGAUCAAACAGGAUUAGAUACCCUGGUAGUCCACGCAGUAAACGAUGAUUACUAGCUGUUUGCGAUACACAGUAAGCGGCACAGCGAAAGCGUUAAGUAAUCCACCUGGGGAGUACGCCGGCAACGGUGAAACUCAAAGGAAUUGACGGGG